UGAGGAAUUUUGCGCAAUGGGAGCAAUCCUGACGCAGCAACGCCGCGUGGGUGAUGAAGGCCUUCGGGUCGUAAAGCCCUGUCAGGUGGGAAGAAUGUCCCGGAAUUGAACAGGUUUCGGGAGUGACGGUACCACCAGAGGAAGCACCGGCUAACUCCGUGCCAGCAGCCGCGGUAAUACGGAGGGUGCAAGCGUUAUUCGGAAUUACUGGGCGUAAAGCGCGUGUAGGCGGUCCUGCAAGUCUGAUGUGAAAGCCCCGGGCUUAACCCGGGAAGUGCAUUUGAGACUGCAGGUCUUGAGUACUGGAGAGGAGGGGGGAAUUCACGGUGUAGAGGUGAAAUUCGUAGAGAUCGGGAGGAAUAUCAGUGGCGAAGGCGCCCAUCUGGACGGUAACUGACGCUGAGACGCGAAAGCGUGGGGAGCAAACA
rnacentral:rRNA from 1 species